AGAGUUUGAUCCUGGCUCAGGACGAACGCUGGCGGCGUGCUUAAUACAUGCAAGUCGAGCGAGGUUACUGUUUCGGAUCCCUUCGGGGUGAAGUUGCUUUAACCUAGCGGCGGACGGGUGAGUAACGCGUAGGCAACCUGCCCUCUAGACGGGGACAACAUUCCGAAAGGGAUGCUAAUACCGGAUGUGAUCCAUCUCCCGCAUGGGAGAGGGACGAGAGAUGGCCUCUAUUUAUAAGCCAUCGCUAGAAGAUGGGCCUGCGUCUGAUUAGCUAGUUGGUGGGGUAACGGCUCACCAAGGCGAUGAUCAGUAGCCGGUCUGAGAGGAUGAACGGCCACAUUGGGACUGAGACACGGCCCAGACUCCUACGGGAGGCAGCAGUGGGGAAUCUUCCGCAAUGGGCGAAAGCCUGACGGAGCAACGCCGCGUGAGUGAUGAAGGUCUUCGGACUGUAAAACUCUGUUGUCGGGGACGAAGGUGCGCUAUGCGAACAGUUUAGCGUAUUGACGGUACCUGACGAGGAAGCCACGGCUAACUACGUGCCAGCAGCCGCGGUAAU
rnacentral:rRNA from 1 species